rnacentral:rRNA from 1 species
CCUACGGGUGGCAGCAGUGGGGGAUAUUGCACAAUGGGGGAAACCCUGAUGCAGCGACGCCGCGUGGGUGAAGAAGUAUUUCGGUAUGUAAAGCCCUAUCAGCAGGGAAGAAAGAAGACGGUACCUGACUAAGAAGCCCCGGCUAACUACGUGCCAGCAGCCGCGGUAAUACGUAGGGGGCGAGCGUUAUCCGGAUUCACUGGGUGUAAAGGGAGCGUAGACGGCCGUGCAAGCCAGGAGUGAAAGCCCGGGGCCCAACCCCGGGACUGCGCUUGGAACUGUGCGGCUGGAGUGCGGGAGGGGCAGGCGGAAUUCCUGGUGUAGCGGUGAAAUGCGUAGAUAUCAGGAGGAACACCGGCGGCGAAGGCGGCCUGCUGGACCGCGACUGACGUCGAGGCUCGAAAGCGUGGGGAGCGAACAGGAUUAGAUACCCGGGUAGUC